AAACUGAAGAGUUUGAUCCUGGCUCAGAUUGAACGCUGGCGGCAUGCCUUACACAUGCAAGUCGAACGGCAGCACGGAGCUUG
rnacentral:rRNA from 1 species